rnacentral:rRNA from 1 species
CCUACGGGUGGCUGCAGUGAGGAAUAUUGGUCAAUGGACGAGAGUCUGAACCAGCCAAGUAGCGUGAAGGAUGACUGCCCUAUGGGUUGUAAACUUCUUUUAUAAAGGAAUAAAACGAGGCACGUGUGCCUUUUUGUAUGUACUUUAUGAAUAAGGAUCGGCUAACUCCGUGCCAGUAGCCGCGGUAAUACGGAGGAUCCGAGCGUUAUCCGGAUUUAUUGGGUUUAAAGGGAGCGUAGAUGGGUUGUUAAGUCAGUUGUGAAAGUUUGCGGCUCAACCGUAAAAUUGCAAUUGAUACUGGCAGUCUUGAGUACAGUUGAGGUAGGCGGAAUUCGUGGUGUAGCGGUGAAAUGCUUAGAUAUCACGAAGAACCCCGAUUGCGAAGGCAGCUUACUAAACUGUGACUGACAUUGAUGCUCGAAAGUGUGGGUAUCAAACAGGAUUAGAUACCCUUGUAGUC